rnacentral:rRNA from 1 species
GACGAACUGUCCUAACGUUGUUCGGAAUCACUGGGCUUAAAGGGCGCGUAGGCGGUCCGACAAGUCAGGGGUGAAAUCCUGCAGCUUAACUGCAGAAGUGCCUUUGAUACUGUCGGUCUUGAGGGAGAUAGGGGUGUGCGGAACUCACAGCGGAGCGGUGAAAUGCGUUGAUAUUGUGAGGAACGCCGGAGGCGAAAGCGGCGCACUGGAUCUCUUCUGACGCUGAGGCGCGAAAGCUAGGGGAGCAAACGGG